AGUGAACGCUGGCGGCAGGCCUAAUACAUGCAAGUCGAACGGCAGCACAGCAGAGCUUGCUCUGUGGGUGGCGAGUGGCGGGACGGGUGAGGAAUACAUGGGAAUCUGCCCAGUCGUGGGGGAUAACGUAGGGAAACUUACGCUAAUACCGCAUGCGCCCUUCGGGGAAAGGCCGGGGACCGGUAAAGGCCUGGCGCGAUUGGAUGAGCCCAUGUCGGAUUAGCUAGUUGGCGGGGUAAAGGGCCCACCAAGGCGACGAUCCGUAGCUGGUCUGAGAGGAUGAUCAGCCACACUGGAACUGAGACACGGUCCAGACUCCUACGGGAGGCAGCAGUAGGGAAUAUUGGACAAUAGGGCGGCAAGCCUGAUCCA
rnacentral:rRNA from 1 species